CGGGGCCUGCGCGGGGGUGGCCCGGGGAGCCCAGGCGGGACGCGCUCUCUGGGCGCAGGCUCGCUGAUAAACUUUUGGUCCGGUUCAUCACUCAUGUCACAGCCCUAGUGACGUGCGUACUAUUAUUAGCGUCACUUAGAGGUGAGGAAACAGGCUCAAAAAAUACCAAGUUACGUGCUUGAAGUCAAACCGAAGGCAGAGCUGCGAAGCAAAUCCAAGUCUGUCUUGACACAGCUGUGUGUCCUACUUCUCAUGGAUCAGCCUCUUCCCGGCUUUCAUUCCCGUGAGCAGCAAACAGCGCUCCCGGGGACAUCUGGGCACUCUCCCUUCUAACAAUGGAGAGGGGACGCAGUCAUUUUAGAAGCUUAAGAACAGCUCUGAGGCCAGAACGUGACUUCCUCGGAGACCUGAUGACGGUGAUGUGGGCGGGGACCUCCGGGAAGAAGGAGGAAGUCAAGUCCCCGGGUUCGCAGCUGGCCUGUCUGCCACCCCCCAGAGAGGGACCCAGCACCUCAGGCGUGGAGCCAGCCCUCCGGGCCUGGGCCUCUUUGCUGGCUAGGACUNNNNNNNNNNNNNNNNNNGGCCCAGUAAAAGAUAAAGUUGUGUCUGUGUGUGGAAGUGGAGUGGGUUGGGGGGGGCUUCUUGCUGUGGAAUGUCCAAGUAAAUGUAGAUUAGGGUAGGAAGGAAUAUGCUGGCUUUCAGAUUUUCUCCUGGAUGGGACAGAGCCCUUCCAUGGCAAAUGAUUUCAGGGUCAGCACAGAAUUUUGAGAGGAGUUUAUCUUGAAAAGUGAAGCCUGCUAAUGCAAGUUUUCUGUCAUUGCCAAAUCUUGGGAACUGUUUGGGUUUUAAAAUCACUGAGCACUGGAGCAACUGUUUUUCCCUUCCAAGCCACUAUUUUGUGAAAUGAGGCUAAAAUACCUGGGCAGCCCUUUUCCCUUGGGCACCCUGGAAUGCUGGGACUAUGAAUGGCAUGUCAGAAGAGUUGGAGCUCCAAAGGGAAGUCAGACCACGAAAGGACAAGGCUCUCUCCUUUAAAAACGAAGUCCUCCUUUUUUUAAUCACAAAAGUAAUUACUACUCAUUGUACACAAGUUAGAUUUUUUUUUUUGUAGAAUCAGAAGAUUAAAAAAAAUUGAAAUCCCACACUGAGGAAACCAUCGACAAUUUGAUGUAUAGCAUUAAAUGUAAGCAGACUGAACACACUGCUUUUUUCCUUGAACAGCCUUUUUUCCUUGAAUAAAAUAUCAUGACAUGCCCCUAAAUAUU
ensembl:lncRNA